rnacentral:rRNA from 1 species
GGGCCCGCACAAGCGGUGGAGUAUGUGGUUUAAUUCGAUGCAACGCGAAGAACCUUACCAGGGUUUGACAUCCUGCGAAUCUCUUGGAAACAGGAGAGUGCCUUCGGGAACGCAGUGACAGGUGGUGCAUGGCUGUCGUCAGCUCGUGUCGUGAGAUGUUGGGUUAAGUCCCGCAACGAGCGCAACCCACGUCUUUAGUUGCCAGCAUUUAGUUGGGCACUCUAGAGAGACUGCCGGUGAUAAACCGGAGGAAGGUGUGGAUGACGUCAAGUCAUCAUGCCCCUUACAUCCUGGGCUACACACGUACUACAAUGGUCGGUACAAUGGGUCGCCACCCAGCGAUGGGGCGCAAA